AUUGAACGCUGGCGGAAUGCUUUACACAUGCAAGUCGAACGGCAGCACGGGAGCUUGCUCCUGGUGGCGAGUGGCGAACGGGUGAGUAAUAUAUCGGAACGUAUCCAAUAAUGGGGGAUAACUGUCGAAAGAUUAGCUAAUACCGCAUACGCCCUGAGGGGGAAAGCUAGGGACCUCAACGCCUGGCGUUAAUGGAGCGGUCGAUAUCUGAUUAGCUAGUUGGUGAGGUAAAGGCUCACCAAGGCGACGAUCAGUAGCUGGUCUGAUAGGACGACCAGCCACACUGGAACUGAGACACGGUCCAGACUCCUACGGGAGGCAGCAGUGGGGAACUUUGGACAAUGGGCGCAAGCCUGAUCCAGCCAUUCCGCGUGAGUGAAGAAGGCCUUCGGGUUGUAAAGCUCUUUCGCAAGGGAAGAAAACUUACCCUCUAACAUAGGGUGAGGCUGACGGUACCUUGAUAAGAAGCACCGGCUAACUACGUGCCAGCCGCCGCCGAA
rnacentral:rRNA from 1 species